AUCAAUUUUAAGUUUACCAAUGAAAUAAUUUUUGAGGAAAGUCUGUGUGCUCAGUGGGCCAAUAGCUCUGGUUUGGGGGUGGGUUUGUUUCACAGCAGCCAAUCCAGUUGAAGGGGAGGGAAGUGCACAGUGGCACAAAGGUGUGAAUGUCCUCUGAAAGAAAAGUUUUGAGUGGAUUACUUGCCAUGGCAACAAAUGGCCACUGCAUGGAAAAAUACCUCAGUAACUUACAUCCGAAUUGGUUCAUCUUUGUAUGCUGUAGAACUGAUUGCACAUGAGGCUCUUUUGACAAAGAUGGCCAAAAUCAUGCACUUUGGGGAGGACCUGUGCCAUCUGCAGAUCUUCCUUAAAAACCAAUUGGACUGUAUACUUCAGGAGGAUGUAAACGACCGUUGGACUCCAGCUGGCCUGCAUCACACAGCCAGACGAUCAACAGACCGGGCUCAAAUGCUGACACCGGGAGCUAGUUUCAGUCUGCGCCGUUUACACUCACCAUUGCCAUGACCAAGUGGCAACAUUACGACUUCUGAGGGUUAGUGAUGGAAGAACGUGUCAGUUGGUGCAGUGGAGCACAGUUUUUCUUCAUCAUGUACAUAGACGCUGCUACUGGGUUGAAUGACCUGUUAACAUCUGCUUCCAAAAUAUACACUCAAAUCUUUCC
rnacentral:lncRNA from 1 species